rnacentral:rRNA from 1 species
AUACGGGGGGUGCAAGCGUUGUCCGGAAUCAUUGGGUGUAAAGGGUUCGUAGGUGGAAUUAUAAGUCUGGUGUGAAAGCCCACAGCUCAACUGUGGAACUGCACUGGAUACUGUUUUUCUUGAGUUAUAGAGGGGUUUGUGGAAUUUCUGGUGUAGAGGUGAAAUUUGUAGAGAUCAGAAAGAACACCGGUGGCGAAGGCGACAAACUGGCUAUUAACUGACACUGAGGAACGAAAGCGUGGGGAGCGAACAGGAUUAGAAACCCUAGUAGUCC